rnacentral:rRNA from 1 species
GACGAACGCUGGCGGCGUGCUUAACACAUGCAAGUCGAACGGAAAGGCCCUGCUUUUGUGGGGUGCUCGAGUGGCGAACGGGUGAGUAACACGUGAGUAACCUGCCCUUGACUUUGGGAUAACUUCAGGAAACUGGGGCUAAUACCGGAUAGGAGCUCCUGCUGCAUGGUGGGGGUUGGAAAGUUUCGGCGGUUGGGGAUGGACUCGCGGCUUAUCAGCUUGUUGGUGGGGUAGUGGCUUACCAAGGCUUUGACGGGUAGCCGGCCUGAGAGGGUGACCGGCCACAUUGGGACUGAGAUACGGCCCAGACUCCUACGGGAGGCGGCAGUGGGGAAUAUUGCACAAUGGGCGGAAGCCUGAUGCAGCAACGCCGCGUGCGGGAUGACGGCCUUCGGGUUGUAAACCGCUUUCGCCUGUGACGAAGCGUGAGUGACGGUAAUGGGUAAAGAAGCACCGGCUAACUACGUGCCAGCAGCCGCGGUGAUACGUAGGGUGCGAGCGUUGUCCGGAUUUAUUGGGCGUAAAGGGCUCGUAGGUGGUUGAUCGCGUCGGAAGUGUAAUCUUGGGGCUUAACCCUGAGCGUGCUUUCGAUACGGGUUGACUUGAGGAAGGUAGGGGAGAAUGGAAUUCCUGGUGGAGCGGUGGAAUGCGCAGAUAUCAGGAGGAACACCAGUGGCGAAGGCGGUUCUCUGGGCCUUUCCUGACGCUGAGGAGCGAAAGCGUGGGGAGCGAACAGGCUUAGAUACCCUGGUAGUCCACGCUGUAAACGGUGGGUACUAGGUGUGGGGUCCGUUCCACGGGUUCCGUGCCGUAGCUAACGCUUUAAGUACCCCGCCUGGGGAGUACGGCCGCAAGGCUAAAACUCAAAGGAAUUGACGGGGCCCCGCACAAGCGGCGGAGCAUGCGGAUUAAUUCGAUGCAACGCGUAGAACCUUACCUGGGUUUGACAUGGAUCGGGAGUGCUCAGAGAUGGGUGUGCCUCUUUUGGGGUCGGUUCACAGGUGGUGCAUGGCUGUCGUCAGCUCGUGUCGUGAGAUGUUGGGUUAAGUCCCGCAACGAGCGCAACCCUUGUUCACUGUUGCCAGCACGUUAUGGUGGGGACUCAGUGGAGACCGCCGGGGUCAACUCGGAGGAAGGUGGGGAUGACGUCAAGUCAUCAUGCCCCUUAUGUCCAGGGCUUCACGCAUGCUACAAUGGCUGGUACAGAGAGUGGCGAGCCUGUGAGGGUGAGCGAAUCUCGGAAAGCCGGUCUCAGUUCGGAUUGGGGUCUGCAACUCGACCUCAUGAAGUCGGAGUCGCUAGUAAUCGCAGAUCAGCAACGCUGCGGUGAAUACGUUCCCGGGGCU